UCCCUCCUAGUUCCCUCUGCUCACCUUUCAGGGUCCCUGGUGGCCCUACUAUCUCUCUGCUAGUCCCCCAAACUCUUUCCAAACUGCUCUUCUGGGUUACUCUGACCUGGCAGUUUUGUCCUGGAUGACCUCCGCCGCCAUUCUGUGGACUUACGAUAUGCGGUCCUUCAGACUGAGGGCUCCAUUCCCACCUCUACAGUCAUCGUCAACGAGGCCAGCGGCAGCCGCACCAUCCUGCACGCCUACAGGUUUGUACGCCUGUCUGCGCUUUGCCAGCUGCUGCCGCGGCCGUCACUACAUUCUCAGGACAGGACCAGGACCCGUCUUCUCUGAGGCCCACGUGCUCCAGUGCACCCUUCCCACUCCUGGAGGAGAUCUAUCUAGGCUGUGUAGCUCUAACCUGUGUCUCCUUGCCCUCUUCCUGGCUUGGGUCCCUUCCCCAAAGCUUCCUGGUGGCCGACUUCAGGCGGAGGGGUGUGGAUGUGUCUCAAGUGGCCUGGCAGAGCCAGGGAGAUACCCCUUGCUCCUGCUGCAUCGUCAACAACUCCAAUGGCUCCCGUACCAUUAUUCUCUACGAC
rnacentral:lncRNA from 1 species